CGCGGUAUUCUGACCGUGCAAAGGUAGCAUAAUAAUUAGUUUUUUUAUUGAAAGCUGGAAUGAAUGAUUGGACGAGAAAACAACUGUCUCUUAUAAAUUUUUGUUUAAUUUAACUUUUAAGUAAAAAGGCUUAAAUUUUUAUUAAAGACGAGAAGACCCUAUAGAGUUUAAUAUUUAUUUAAUAAUAAUUUAUUUGGAAUUUUUUGAUUUUUUAUUUUUUAAUUAUUUAGUUGGGGUGACUAAAAGAUUUAUAAAACUCUUUUAAUUUUGUUGUCAUUGAUUUAUGAAUUUAUUAUCUAGAUUUUUUAAAUUUAAUAUAAAUUACCUUAGGGAUAACAGCGUAAUUUCUUUUUAGAGUUCUUAUUGAUAAGGAAGUUUGCGACCUCNAUGUUGAUUUAAAUUGCCGCGGUAU
rnacentral:rRNA from 1 species